UACGGGGGGGGCAAGCGUUGUUCGGAAUUACUGGGCGUAAAGGGCUCGUAGGUGGCCAACUAAGUCAGACGUGAAAUCCCUCGGCUUAAUCGGGGAACUGCGUCUGAUACUGGAUGGCUUGAGUUUGGGAGAGGGACGCGGAAUUCCAGGUGUAGCGGUGAAAUGCGUAGAUAUCUGGAGGAACACCGGUGGCGAAGGCGGCAUCCUGGACCGGCAUUGACGCUGAACAGCGAAAGCCAGGGGAGCAAACGGG
rnacentral:rRNA from 1 species